UACGGGGGGUGCGAGCGUUGUCCGGAAUCACUGGGCGUAAAGGGCGCGUAGGCGGCCUGAUAAGUAGGGGGUGAAAUCCUGCGGCUUAACCGCAGGGCUGCCUUCUAAACUGUCAGGCUUGAGCACAGUAGAGGCAGGUGGAAUUCCCGGUGUAGCGGUGGAAUGCGUAGAGAUCGGGAGGAACAUCAGUGGCGAAGGCGGCCAUCUGGGACAACACUGACGCUGAAGCACGAAAGCGUGGGGAGCAAACAGG
rnacentral:rRNA from 1 species